rnacentral:rRNA from 1 species
CAGCAGCCGCGGUAAUACGUAGGGUGCAAGCGUUAAUCGGAAUUACUGGGCGUAAAGCGUGCGCAGGCGGUUUUGUAAGACAGAGGUGAAAUCCCCGGGCUCAACCUGGGAACUGCCUUUGUGACUGCAAGGCUAGAGUACGGCAGAGGGGGAUGGAAUUCCGCGUGUAGCAGUGAAAUGCGUAGAUAUGCGGAGGAACACCGAUGGCGAAGGCAAUCCCCUGGGCCUGUACUGACGCUCAUGCACGAAAGCGUGGGGAGCAAACAGGAUUAGAUACCCCUGUAGUCCCUGUCUCUUAUAC